rnacentral:rRNA from 1 species
AAUCAACGCUGGCGGCGUGCCUAAUACAUGCAAGUCGAACGCGAAAGUCCCGCAAGGGGCAAGUAGAGUGGCAAACGGGUGAGUAACGCGUGGGCGACCUACCUUCGAGUGGGGGAUAACCUUCCGAAAGGAGGGCUAAUACCGCAUGACAUCCCGUGUUUGGAUACACGGACAUCAAAGUCGGGGAUCGCAAGACCUGACGCUUGGAGAGGGGCCCGCGUCCGAUUAGCUAGUUGGUGGGGUAACGGCCCACCAAGGCUUCGAUCGGUAUCCGGCCUGAGAGGGCGGACGGACACACUGGAACUGAGACACGGUCCAGACUCCUACGGGAGGCAG